CAAGAAAAACGGCUUGUUGAUUUUCGUCUCGGCGAAAGUAGGAAAGUCCGGACACCACAGAGCAGCAAAGCGGAUAACGUCCGCCGGUCGCGAGAUCAGGACCAGUGCAACAGAAAGAAUGUAUAUUAAUUUAUAGUGAAAUCAGGUAAACUCUUUGCGGUGCAAUGUUAAGUAUAUCGGCAAUCAAGGGCGGCUCGUCCAAUGUCGAGGGGUAAACAGCUAAAGUUUUGCAGCAAUGUAAAACGCAGAUAAAUAACAGGCGCCCCAUUUUUGGGGAACAGAAUCCGGCUUAUAGUUUUUCUUGUGGU
rnacentral:RNase_P_RNA from 1 species